GCAGGGGUCGCACAAUCUGGUAGUGCACGGGCUUGAAAACCUCGAUGCCUUUACCGGCUGUCUGGGUUCAAACACGGUUCACAGGAUUAGAUGUGUACGGGUGAAAAUCCCAGCCCCUGCG
rnacentral:tRNA from 1 species